CACGUAAGGGGCGAGCGUUGUUCGGAAUUAUUGGGCGUAAAGCGCGCGCAGGCGGUUUUACAAGUCUGGUGUGAAAAAUCUGGGCUCAACUCAGAAGACGCGCUGGAAACUGUAAGACUAGAGUCUUGGAGGGGGAGUUGGAAUUCCUAGUGUAGGGGUGAAAUCUGUUGAUAUUAGGAAGAACACCGGAGGCGAAGGCGAGCUCCUGGCUGGAGACUGACGCUGAGGCGCGAAAGCGUAGGUAGCAAACAGG
rnacentral:rRNA from 1 species